UACGUAGGCAGCAAGCGUUGUUCGGAAUUACUGGGCGUAAAGAGUGUGUAGGCGGUGCUCUAAGUGUGGUGUGAAAUCUCCCGGCUUAACUGGGAGGGUGCGCCGCAGACUGGAGUGCUAGAGUGUGGGAGAGGUAAGCGGAAUUCCUGGUGUAGCGGUGAAAUGCGUAGAUAUCAGGAGGAACACCUGUGGUGUAGACAGCUUACUGGACCACGACUGACGCUGAGACACGAAAGCGUGGGUAGCAAACAGG
rnacentral:rRNA from 1 species